CUCUCCAUUGUCUUCACACUUACCAUUUCCUUAUGUAUAUGUGGGUCUGCCUUGGGUUUUUGAUUUUGCAGGUUUCCAUAGAAGCUCGAAGAAGAUGAAGGUGCUAGAGGCGUCGUUUGCAGUGGCUUACAUGGAAGAGUUGUAGUGGUCCGACGACGUGGAGAAACUAGCGAUUAAGGUUCUAAUUUUGUCUCGCGGUGGCUUGUGGUGGUGAAAAUGUUGGGUGAAGUCGCGAUUGGUUUAUAUUGCUUGUUGGUGGAGCAAAUGCAAUACCGGUGAAGGAACUGAGGAAGCUCAACAAAUUCUCUAUAUUCUUGAUGUCUUGAAAGAUAUGUUAAAAUAAGAAGAUGGAGAUGGAGGUCCUUUGAUUUGUGUUAUCAAUGAUGCUGAUUUAAUGCAUUGCAAAGGUUGAUGGAAAGCAAGCUUAUGCAAUUCACUUGGAAGCACCCCUUGAGCAAGCAUAAAAGUGGAAAAAUAGAAGUCCCAAAGUACCAAAGUCCCUGCGAAUAUAGGAUGCUCAUGUUGGAAUUAGUGGUUCUGAACCCAAAAUAUCCUCAUUCAAUGAUUUCACAGACAAGGUUUCCCCCAUUUCUUUUGGUUGGAAUUUAUAAUUAUUCCAUUAUACAUAUCUUCCAUGUCUAUAUUUGUAAUUGGUUCUGUUGAUUUUCUAUUGUUGCAAAAUAUUCUCAAUAAACAAUGCAGGUUCUUCCUUACAUUAAGGAAGCUGGAUACAAUGUCAUCCAACUGAUUGUAAUUAUUGAACAUAAGGAUUAUUUUACUGUUGGUUACAGAGUAAGUUAAUGUUGUAAUUCUUAUUUUUCUCAUGGUAAUUACAGAGUGAUUAAGAUUCUUUAUUUUAAGUUAUGUGUAUGAAUUGUACAAAAGGCAUACAUGUUUUUUUUUAAGUCUUGACACUGACACAAACUAUGUGCACACCUUGUACAUGCUGGCAUGCUGCUUAUAGUUGUUUAUAAGUUUUGCUAGAAUUUUAUUACCACUCUGACCUUUAGUGACAUGCUCAAACAUUGAUUCAAUGGUGCAGGUUACAAAUUAUUUUGCUGUUAGUAGCAUAUAUGGUACUCUUGAGGAUUUCAAGCGAUUAGUUG